UGCGCGGGCCAGGCCCCUCUGACUGUCGCCUUCUAGCGACCGUGAUGUCGGACCGCGUGA
rfam:Mesorhizobium sp. Root157 contig_9, whole genome shotgun sequence.